CCUACGGGGGGCUGCAGUAAGGAAUAUUGGACAAUGGGCGAAAGCCUGAUCCAGCAAUGCCGCGUGCAGGAAGAAUUCCUUCGGGAUGUAAACUGCUGUCAGGGGCCACCAAGUAAAGUGUGCUAAUACCACACUGCAUUGAGGAACCCCAGAGGAAGCUCCGGCUAAGUUCGUGCCAGCAGCCGCGGUAAGACGAACGGAGCUAGCGUUGUUCGGAAUCACUGGGCUUAAAGAGCUCGUAGGCGGAUUAUCAAGCGCUUUGUGAAAGCCCUCGGCUCAACCGAGGAAUAGCUUGGCGAACUGAUAAUCUUGAGGCAGGUAGGGGCAACUGGAACUCAUGGUGGAGCGGUGGAAUGCGUAGAUAUCAUGAGGAACGCCAGAGGCGAAAGCGAGUUGCUGGGCCUAUCCUGACGCUGAGGAGCGAAAGCGUGGGGAGCAAACGGGAUUAGAUACCCUAGUAGUC
rnacentral:rRNA from 1 species